CUGGGAACCAUGACUAUAACACACAAGCCUUUGGGGGACAGUCAAGAUCCAAACUACUGCAAGAAGCAUCAUCUUCACUGAAAAUGUUCUAGUUUCCUGUGAUUACAGGAGAAAAUUUCUCCCAACAAGGUUUUCCAGAUGGCUGUGUUGGAUCCUGCCAACCACACCAGAUGGGAAGGGUUCCCUUACCUGAACUGAAUCUGCACAUCCCUCCAGAAGUUCUCUGUCAAGCUGAGCUCCUGAGCGAGAUACAUAGGAAAUGGUUGUGUUAAAUGAACAUCCUUUAUUCUUGGUUAUGACUUAAUCCUUGUCUGAAGCCUAAGCCAGAAACUGGUGUAAGAAGCCAGCCUAUCGGUUUGCUUCCCUACAGCUGCGACUUGGUCCUGCGUAUUCCUCUGGAUUAAAAACAGCUCCUAAAACAAAGACUCAGCCAACCCCAUUUUGCCAUUCUGGAGGCAGAAAUAGAAAGAGAGGGAGUUUCCUGGAAUUACUUAUCAUUCAUUCACCCUUUCCAGCACCAUCUCCAUUGCCAAGUCCUGACGGCUUUUGUGAGCCAGGAACCUGUGAACAGCUUAGCCCUGCAGCUCUGCCUCAAAGCUUCUCAUGGGUGGCAAUCAAGAUGUGGGUCAGACUGUCAUCUGAAGACCUGACCAGUGUGAAGUAUCUGCUUCUGUGUGACUCACUUACAUUUCCUCACAUGAGGCCCUCUUCACAGGACUGCUUGCGCAUCCUCAUGACAUGACACUGGCUUCUUCCAUAGUGAGCAAUCAAAGAGAAUGAAGAGGAAGCCACUGGUACCUUUACAUUCUAGGCUUUGACUGAUUUUCCAUCUGGCCUAACCAGAGCCUGAGGUUACUGAAUCCAGUGGAGCCAAUAGGUUCGACUUGAGCUUGCUUAAAGCAUGCUUAGAACAGGGAAAGACAAAUUGGCUCCUUUCUGAAAGGCCUAUGGAGCAGAAGCCUGCUUCUCCCUCCCCAGACCACAGCCUUGAAAGAGAAAACAUCCUGUUCUUCCAACUCAUGAGAAGCCACUGCAGUGGAGCAAGAGGCUCGGUGGCCGUUUCCCACUCAAGAAGCUCACUGACUGGCAGCCUUAAGGGCAAGGACCUUAUCAGGCAGACCUGAUUCCCAUCCCAGGUCCUGGGGUACCAGGCAGGGUUAGAUAAGGCUGGGCUUAUCAACUCAGCUCCAACAGCCCCGGAGAAAACAAAAGAGCAGCACAAAGUUUCCACGCUUGGGAAGAAGUCAAGGUUAGCAAAGCACUAGACCCAGGUAUCUGGCAGAGGUGACAAAGGGACCUUACAACUGAAAGCAACAAGACCAGGUGGGGUCAGGGACACUCUUGGAGUGCCGGUAACCAGAGGCAGGAUAGGCUCAGGAGAGGCAGCCCUUGCCCGCAUGCCAUGUAGACUAUCCCACACAGCUGCCACCUAGAGGAGAAGGGAGACAAUAGAGCAAAGCCAGAAUUAGUUGAAUUUUAAGAUGAAAAGACUGAGAAAACACAGAGGAUUUCUAGAAAGAAUCAGGGUCGCAUGGUAUUAAGUGGAUUAUGUUGAAUUAGGAAAAAAUAAUGUUAUAUAUUUCUUGCACACACUAGUUUGUGGCUUAGGAAAAUUCAAACAUGCUUAUAAACAUGCCAAUGCCUUGCCCCGUAUGCCAUACCAUGCAGAGAGAAGGGGCUGUUUGGGGUUAGUGAGUCUCUCAGAAAUUUAAGAGAUGGCUAGAAUCGCAAGGCAUAAAGUGAUAGUACCUGAAAGUCUUCUAGAACACAGUUCAGAAAAUAUUAUUUCUUUAAAGGGCCAGAUAAUAAACAUUUUAUGCUUUUCCAACUGUAUAGUCUCUGCACCUCUUCAGCUCUGCCAUGGCAGCACAAAACAGCCAUGUACAAUACAUAAAUGAGUGGGCCGCGCUAGGUUCCAAUAAA